rnacentral:rRNA from 1 species
CAGCACCUCAAGUGGUCAGGAUGAUUAUUGGGCCUAAAGCAUCCGUAGCCGGCGCUGUAAGUUUUCGGUUAAAUCUGUACGCUCAACGUACAGGCUGCCGGGAAUACUGCAGAGCUAGGGGGUGGGAGAGGUAGACGGUACUCGGUAGGAAGGGGUAAAAUCCUUUGAUCUAUUGAUGACCACCUGUGGCGAAGGCGGUCUACCAGAACACGUCCGACGGUGAGGGAUGAAAGCUGGGGGAGCAAACCGGAUUAGAUACCCGAGUAGUCC